rnacentral:rRNA from 1 species
UGAUCCAGCCAUGCCGCGUGAAGGAGACUGCCCUAUGGGUUGUAAACUUCUUUUAUAGAGGAAGAAACACAGAUACGUGUAUUUGUUUGACGGUACUCUACGAAUAAGGAUCGGCUAACUCCGUGCCAGCAGCCGCGGUAAUACGGAGGAUCCAAGCGUUAUCCGGAAUCAUUGGGUUUAAAGGGUCCGCAGGCUGUUGUUUAAGUCAGAGGUGAAAGUUUGCAGCUCAACUGUAAAAUUGCCUUUGAUACUGGAUAACUUGAGUAAUAAUGAAGUGGUUAGAAUAUGUAGUGUAGCGGUGAAAUGCAUAGAUAUUACAUAGAAUACCGAUUGCGAAGGCAGAUCACUAAUUAUAUACUGACGCUGAGGGACGAAAGCGUGGGGAGCGAACAGGAUUAGAUACCCUGGUAGUCCACGCCGUAAACGAUGGUUACUAGCUGUUUGGAUUUCGGACUGAGUGGCUAAGCGAAAGUGAUAAGUAACCCACCUGGGGAGUACGAUCGCAAGAUUGAAACUCAAAGAAAAUUGACGG